AUUGUUCCAUAACUAUUCAUCUGUAUAAACCUUUUUGUUUUUUGUUAUUUGCUAAAGAAAGCAUUGUUGUACUUUUUUACAGCCAGUGAACCAGAUGAUAAAGAUUUUGUCCUGUAUGAGCUCCUCAAGCCUCCCAAAGAUGCUGCUUAUUAGUAUGCAGAGAUGUUCUGCCAUCAUUAUGAAAUGUGGAGAGACUGGAAAUGGAGGCAACUUGAGGAGAAAUACUUUUUUUAAUUUUAAAUAAAAUCAGUAAGGCAAGCUAUUUGGCUUAGUGUAAUACUAAUAAUUAAACAUCUGAUGGGUCAUGUGUUCACUUGAACAGUUUUGACUGGGUUUUGAAGCAUGCUUAAUUCAAGUUAUAUCCAAAAUUCCCCUGCUCCAAAUUGUGAAUAGUACCUAGACAUGGCCAUCAACAUGUUAAGCAUGUUCACACCAGACCCAUGAAUUUGUCUACAAAACCUCCUUUGGAAUUGUUUGGUUCCAGAGUUUCACAUCAAGUGCAUUUCCAGAGCAGUAACAUGUUAACAAAAAAACACAAACAUUUAAAUUGCACAGAAUUUAUUUAAAACCUUGACAUUUACAGCAACCCAUAUAAAAAAGAAAUCUUACCAACAAUUAUGAAUGAAUGGGUGAAUAAAAUAGCCUUGACUCCUCAA